GCAAGGGCCAGCCACCCAUGGCAUCAUUUUAAAUUUGUGACUUCAGUCCCACAUAGCCUGAGCUUUUUCAUGGUAAUCUAAGGAAUGAGGACCUUCUUGGGAAUACAAGUGAUCCAGAGUUUUAACAGAGAAAAAACAAUCACAUACCUUGGGAAUCCCAACUCUCAUGCUCCGUCAACAGGUCUAUGGGCCAUGCUUGAGCACUCUGCCGUGUGGUAGAGAAUGCUGGCUGGCAGGUUCCUGGGGCAGGAUUAUGGGGCUGGAGUACUGGGGAGCUAGCUCUCUGAGGUCCAGUGGCACAGCCAUUCACACCACAGGGAGUGGGAAGGUGACCUGGGCAUUUGGAAAACAAUUCCUUGAGCACGGUACAAGGAUUGGAUGGUUCUGCCACCAGGCAGAGCAGAAGUCAGUGUUGGACAUGCCCCGGAAGCUGG
rnacentral:lncRNA from 1 species